rnacentral:lncRNA from 1 species
CUUGAUUUAACUAUCCUCAGGUUGGUCCAUCAGCUUCACCAUGCGGAGUAGUCCACGCUUGGGGUCGACUUGACUCAAGUUCUCCGCAUCUCAUGGUUAAUCAACGUACCUAAAUGAUUUGCAUAAUGCACAUGAAUGCAUAUAAACAAGAAUAUCACAAACCUAAAUAAGGCUACACGACGGUGAAAUAAACACCUAGCGGCGAGGCGUUGUACUAUUUCCUACGGAAACACUAGUUAUCGACAUACGACUACGCUCAAUUAUCAUACUUUUCUAGUGUAAUCGUAUCUACUUCAAAUAUCAAAGCGAUAAUAAACUAAACACAAGUCCUAUAUCAAAACACCCAUCGAGUCACUAACACUUUACUUCUGGCCCCUUCUAUGUUUCUUGCCUUUACAAAUUGAGUCCCCGACGUCGCCGGCAGCGCGAACGCGUUCCCCCCGCGAUCCUACGGCGGAGGAGAGCCCGAGCAGUCAUCGGACAACGGCCAGAUCAAAUCUUAACAUAAUCCAAACAAUUACGGGCAUGGAUUUGGCUCACAAAUUCCCAGAGCGACUUGACCGCGCCCACGACGGAAUCCAAGUUCGUGGUAUAUGCCGGGCCAAUUUGAGUGUCGGACACAUCAAAUUAAGGGCACGGGGAGUACGAGCAAGACACGGUCGACGCGAUGCUUACGAUCGACAUCGAACCGACAGAGUUUUGGUGGGUUGACAUCAGAGCAGUUCAUGCGGCAUUAAACCCGCGUUCCGAUCAAACUAGGAUUGUAAAUAUCAACCGGACUUUUUGGUGAGCUUCACCAAUCUAUAGGGACGCUAGAACAUGAAGUCUUAAGGAUUGAGCCAUACCGUAGAUGCCCAGCCACAUGAGGUCGAGGUGUUGGCGAGGGGAUCAUCAGCCACGCUCAAUAUCUUGAUCAAUGAAACUGGGCGCGACCAGGGUAUAAUUUGGGGGAAGGGAGAGCAACCCUGUUAGCUGAAGUUAUAUCCUGUGGUUGAUGGUCGAGGCAAGGAUCACGGCUUGCUCCUGCUUUCCUUUCCCCCCCCCCGGUUGCUCUUAUAUAGCCAAGGAAAAGAUCAAGGGACUGGAUUCUUGAGUUUACAGGGGGGGAUAACUAUAUGCAUGGGGUGCAGUCGUGGCUUACCCAAGGAAGCCCACGCCGGUGCUGCAGGGU